rnacentral:tRNA from 1 species
GGCCUCGUAGCUCAGGGGAUAGAGCACCGCUCUCCUAAAGCGGGUGUCGCAGGUUCGAAUCCUGCCGGGGGCA